rnacentral:sRNA from 15 species
GUCAAUUACCCACCGCUUGUAAAAGCGGGAGCUUGAAAAAACCCUGAUUGACUACCCUCAGCCAGGGGAAGUUGAUCUUCCUAUCGGGCUACGUUAGACAGUUGCACCCUAUGAUGCUGCUCAAGUUCCAGGCACUGUC